rnacentral:lncRNA from 1 species
ACAAAACAUUAUCUACUGCCAUUUCUAUUUUAUUUUGCUAUUUAUAAAGUUAAUAUUUUUUCACAUUUUUUCAUGUCCCCAUAAAUCACAUGCAGUAGCUGUUAAUUGUGAAGUAACUCAGAAUAUUAAUGAGCACUGCAGAAAGAGAGUGGUAAAUUCAGGAGUCCUAUUGCUGGUUCAAAACACCGGAUGCUUAAAUACAUGUGGGGCUUACAUUUGCUCAUGAAUUGACAGCUUGUGAGGAAAAUAUGAGAACAAAGAGGACGGUCCUUAAGAAUUUGCUGUGCUAUGGAGGACAUAAGCAUACAUUAUGUGUACCAGACCACUCGACAGUCUCAGGUUCAUUUCACCACUUCUUUCUGAGCACUACACGGGGUUUUCCCUCACAAAGGAGAAGCAGCAGGCACUAAAGAUGAGAGCAAAACUGAACCAAGUCCUAAAAGUGGAGCAGUGUGGGUCAAAAGCAAAUCAAAGACCGUGCCACUGGAAAGAUGCCCAUCUGCCCUGAACCAAGAAGGUCAGAGGCACUCUGGGAAGGCUGGCGUUCCUUCAGGGCCUCACCUGGCAGAACAUGGUGUAUGUGUGAAGGACUGAAGCUGUUGCAAGCAGCCGGGCUGAUAUCAGCCUCUCCCCUGCCUUGGGGAGUGCCUUCAUCCUGAGCUACCCCUCUGGAAGAGCCCAGCACAGAGCAAACGUCCUCACUGCAUGUCUGCUGGAAGAUCCAGGGUUGUUUUGGUGCUACGGAAGGCAUGAAAGCAGGUAUGUGGUUGCAUGACCGCGUGAUGUUGCCACCAGCUCUUCAGCGGCACUGGGUAAGUAGCAGUCUUUCUGUCACAGUGGCCGUGUAGCCUAGCAGCUCCCUGCACAUGUGGGCUGGGUUGAAGUGAGAUAGAAAUUUCAGGGUUUCAACAAAAAGAAAUACUUUGUUUUGUGUCAGGUUGAAGUGAUUUUUUUUUGUUGUUUUGAUUUUAAUUUUGCAUUCUAUUCAGAUUGUUUAACCAGUUGGGGGAUUGUCU